GACGAACGCUGGCGGCGUGCUUAACACAUGCAAGUCGAACGGAAAGGCCCCUUUGGGGGUACUCGAGUGGCGAACGGGUGAGUAACACGUGAGUAACCUGCCCUUGACUUCGGGAUAACUUCAGGAAACUGGGGCUAAUACCGGAUAGGAAUCCUUGCUGCAUGGUGGGGGUUGGAAAGCUUCGGCGGUUUUGGAUGGACUCGCGGCUUAUCAGCUUGUUGGUGGGGUAGUGGCUUACCAAGGCUUUGACGGGUAGCCGGCCUGAGAGGGCGACCGGCCACAUUGGGACUGAGAUACGGCCCAGACUCCUACGGGAGGCAGCAGUGGGGAAUAUUGCACAAUGGGCGGAAGCCUGAUGCAGCAACGCCGCGUGGGGGAUGACGGCCUUCGGGUUGUAAACCGCUUUCAGCAGGGGCGAAGCUUGUGGUGACGGUACCUGCAGAAGAAGCACCGGCUAACUACGUG
rnacentral:rRNA from 1 species